rnacentral:rRNA from 1 species
GACGAACGCUGGCGGCGUGCUUAACACAUGCAAGUCGAGCGGUAAGGCCCUUUCGGGGGUACACGAGCGGCGAACGGGUGAGUAACACGUGGGUGACCUGCCCUCAGCUCUGGGAUAAGCCUGGGAAACCGGGUCUAAUACUGGAUAUGACUCCAUGACGCAUGUUGUGGGGUGGAAAGCCUUGUGCGGCUGAGGAUGGGCCCGCGGCCUAUCAGCUUGUUGGUGGGGUGANGGCCUACCAAAGGCGACGACGGGUAGCCGGCCUGAGAGGGCGACCGGCCACACUGGGACUGAGACACGGCCCAGACUCCUACGGGAGGCAGCAGUGGGGAAUCUUGCGCAAAUGGGCGAAAAGCCUGACGCAGCGACGCCGCGUGAGGGAUGACGGCC